AUGAUCACCGAAGUUAAGCAAUGGCGAGCCUGGUCAGUACUUAGGUGGGUGAUCGCUUGGGAAUACCAGGUGAAGU